GACGAACGCUGGCGGCGUGCCUAAUACAUGCAAGUAGGACGCAGUUGCGAACGGGUGAGUAACGCGUAGGUAACUACCUAUUAGAGGGGGAUAACUAUUGGAAACGAUAGCUAAUACCGCAUACUAGUAGAUGGACCUACGUUGUAUUCGCAAGUAGGUAGGGUAAUGGCCUAACUGGGCAACGAUACAUAGCCGACCUGAGAGGGUGAUCGGCAACACUGGGAAUGAGACACGGCCCAGACUCAGACAGGAGGAAGCAGUAGGGAGUCUUCAGCAAUGGGGGGAACCCUGACCGAGAAACGCCGCGUGAGUGAAGAAGAUGUUCGGAUCGUAAAGCUCUGUGGUUAAGGAAGCGGUACUUAACCAGAAAGAGACGGCUAACUACGUGCAAGCAGCCGCGGUAAUUC
rnacentral:rRNA from 1 species